rnacentral:lncRNA from 10 species
CAGAGUUCUAGCCAGGAAAGUGAAUACCAGUCUGCAACUUCAACCUCAAUGGGUGACUAUCUGUGAAGCUCCUCUGCUGGGGGAGAGUGGGCAGCCUCUCCCUUGCCCACUGGGAGAAAAGGGAGUGACCCCGGCAAGACCAAUUCCUCCUCUCCCCUGUCCUCCUCCUCGCCUACUCCACAUGAAGACAACGAGGAUGAAGACCUUCAUGAUGAUCCAUUUCCACUUAAUGAACAGUUUGGAAAAUACUCAUCUUUGAUUAAAAAGUUGGAAAGAACUGACCGGGCGCGGUGGCUCACGCCUGUAAUCUCAGCACUUUGGGAGGCGGAGGCGGGCGGAUCACAAGGUCAAGAGAUCGAGACCACGGUGAAACCCCGUCUCUACUAAAAAUACAAAAAAAAAAAAAUCAGCCGAGCUCGGUGGCUGGCACCUAUAGUCCCAGCUACUUGGGAGGCUGAGGCAGGAGAAUGGCGUGAACCCACGAGGCGGAGCUUGCAGUGAGCUAAUACCGCGUCACUGCACUCCAGCCUAGGUGACAGAGGAAGACUCCGUCUC